GGCAGCGGCAACUUUGACAUUGGUCCAAGGUUGACCGAUCGACCUGCGGUAGGUUGUAGGAGGAAGAUUCGCUGCCGGGUGAGCUGGGAGGGGAGCGCUUAGUGCGUACCUGAAACCACCGGCCCGGACACCCGGUUAGCCUUGCUUUGCGCUUCCAACAGGUAUUUUACUAUAAAAGGACCCGAGGACUUGGCCAAAGUAUCAGUCUUUGCCACAGACAGCUCAACAAACCUCACUCAACCAUGUACAAGCUCAUGAUCCUCGUGCUUGCCCUUGUGGCCGUGGCUGCUGCUUAUCCUUAUCAGUACAUCCGGUACCCCGCCUAUGGCUACGGCACUAUCCGCUCAGGUCGCACAGGAUUGAUCGGCGCCAGCCCGUACGUCGCCGCUUCUCCCCUGGCCUACAGCGGUCUGGGCUCCCAACAAGCCUAUGGUGCCUACCCGUACCUUGGUUAAGCUGAGAUUGUAGAGCUGAAGACAGGGCCCGGAAACCAACCCUGGUGCUGGACCCUGUCUGAUCUGAUCCAACCUGAUGAACGACAUUUGCCUAAAUCAUCGCUGACUCCCGAUUUUUUAUUCUGAUCAAGACGCACGGAUACCAUUUUGGAAGUUCAAAUAAAAAUUUAGAGCAUAUUUUGCUGAAA